AGUUUGAUCCUGGCUCAGAACGAACGCUGGCGGCAUGCCUAACACAUGCAAGUCGAACGAGACCUUCGGGUCUAGUGGCGCACGGGUGCGUAACGCGUGGGAACCUGCCUUUAGGUUCGGAAUAACUCAGAGAAAUUUGAGCUAAUACCGGAUAAUGUCUUCGGACCAAAGAUUUAUCGCCUUUAGAUGGGCCCGCGUUGGAUUAGCUAGUUGGUGGGGUAAAGGCCUACCAAGGCGACGAUCCAUAGCUGGUCUGAGAGGAUGAUCAGCCACACUGGGACUGAGACACGGCCCAGACUCCUACGGGAGGCAGCAGUGGGGAAUAUUGGACAAUGGACGCAAGUCUGAUCCAGCCAUGCCGCGUGAAGGAUUAAGGCCCUCUGGGUUGUAAACUUCUUUUAUAGGGGACGAAAAAAGGGCUUUCUAGCUCGUCUGACGGUACCCUAUGAAUAAGCACCGGCUAACUCCGUG
rnacentral:rRNA from 1 species